rnacentral:rRNA from 1 species
AACGCUGGCGGCGCGCUUAACACAUGCAAGUCGAGCGAGAACCAGGGCUUCGGCCCUGGGGACAGCGGCGAACGGGUGAGUAACACGUGGGUAAUCUGCCCUCGAUUCUGGGAUAGCCCGGGGAAACCCGGAUUAAUACCGGAUAGCCUCUCGAGCUCUCGGGCUCGCGAGAAAAGGUAGCUUCGGCCUCCGAUCGAGGAUGAGCCCGCGGCGGAUUAGCUUGGUGGCGGGGGUAAUGGCCCACCAAGGCGACGAUCCGUAGCUGGUCUGAGAGGACGAUCAGCCACACUGGGACUGAGACACUGCCCAGACUCCUACGGGAGGCAGCAGUGGGGAAUCUUGCGCGAUGGGCGAAAGCCUGACGCAGCGACGCCGCGUGGGGGAAGAAGGCCUUCGGGUUGUAAACCUCUUUCAGGAGGGACGAAGCCACUCGGGUUAAUAGCCCAGAGGGUGACGGUACCUCCAGAAGAAGCCCCGGCUAACUACGUGCCAGCCGCCGCCGUAACAC